rnacentral:misc_RNA from 1 species
GAACGCACCUUGCACCCUUUGGUAUUCCGAGGGGCAUGCCUGUUUGAGUGUCGCAUUACUCUCAACCCUUGACCGAUCAUCGGCUCGGGCUUGGACCGUGGCCGAACCUGGCCGGCGUCAUAGACGUCUGGCCCGGCCGAAAUGAAUGCGGAGCGAAUGCGCGACCGCGACGACCGAGCGUUGUAGAACCUCGCGAGGCUGUUGCUGGCGUGCUGCUCUCCAGUCAUAUUCUUCGAUCUCAAAUCAGGUAGGACUACCCGCUGAACUUAAG